CACAGUACAUGGUUCUUGGCACUCAGAAGGCGUCCCUGGAUCACAGGUGCUUACAUGGGGAGGGGCCUGUGUCACGAGUGGGUCUGGGGGCCUGGCUGGGAGGUGGGCCGGCCACCUCGGCCGUCGUCAGUGAUGUGCGCUGGUGAAUCUGAGUCUGCAUUUCCAGAAACAUCGAGUUGCCUGUGGUAAAGCAGGGAGCCCUCUGACGAAGACAGCAGCUCCUGAGUGCUCGGGCAGCCAUGGAGUCUCCUAUACAGUCCAAGAUGCCGCCUCCAUGGCCUCAGCUGGUCCCGGGGGUGAGGAAUGCCACAGGCUGUUACUCCAUUCCCCAAGCCCAACGUUCAGGUGUCUCUUCACUUUUCUCAGCCACUGGUUUGUCGACGUCAGGAUGCGUCUCAGCUCUUCACAGUGUAUGUGGCAGAUGUGGCCAGCAGCCUCCGGGGCAGGAAGGCACCUCUGCCUCCUUUUCUGUCCUGUUGGGUGUUUGCUGAAGAUGGUGUGUCCUGUGUGUGGAGUGCCUCUUCCAUGCAGUCCCGUGCCUCGGCUUCCUCACAACUCCUCACUCUCCGAGGGGACAUCCCUCCCUCCCAGGGGCUCCUGGACAUGCUGGUCAACUGGAGUCCUCACUGUGCUAAAGGCCAGGGGCCAUCUGGCACUUAACUAUGGAGUGAGAAGGCGCCGUCCACCAACCAGAGAGCAGCCCUCGCCAGACGCCGAAUCUGCUGGCGCCUUGGUCUCGGACUUCCAGUCUCCAGAACUUGGAGGAAUAAAUUUCUGGUUUCUACGCUGCCCAAGGUGUGUGGGAGAAGGAGCAGCGGGGACUUUAACCCUGGCGUCAUCAGCUCCAGCAUCAUCAGCUCCGGCGUCAUCAGCUCUGGCGUCAUCAGCUCUGGCAUCAUAAGCUCCCGCGUCCUAUCCCAUCCCAGGGCAAGCCGCACGGGAAGCCCCAGGAGCAGAGAGGCCUCUGGGAACUGGGUGGCGUGACGGGGUGGGCACAGUGGGCGCC
rnacentral:antisense_RNA from 1 species